rnacentral:rRNA from 1 species
CUACGGGUGGCUGCAGUGAGGAAUUUUGCGCAAUGGGGGAAACCCUGACGCAGCAACGCCGCGUGAGUGAAGAAGGCUUUCGGGUCGUAAAGCUCUGUCAGGUAGGAAAAAAGUUCAUAUGUAAAUAGCUUAUGAAUCUGAUGGUACUAUCAGAGGAAGCACCGGCUAACUCCGUGCCAGCAGCCGCGGUAAUACGGAGGGUGCAAGCGUUGUUCGGAAUUACUGGGCGUAAAGGGCGUGUAGGCGGUAUGGUAAGUCAGAUGUGAAAGCCCUGGGCUUAACUCAGGAAGUGCAUUUGAUACUGCCAUCCUUGAGUAUGGGAGAGGAGAGUAGAAUUCCCAGUGUAGAGGUGAAAUUCGUAGAUAUUGGGAGGAAUACCCGUGGCGAAGGCGACUCUCUGGACCAAUACUGACGCUGAGACGCGAAAGCGUGGGGAGCAAACAGGAUUAGAUACCCGAGUAGUC